AAUCAAAAAAUAAACUUUAAGCCUAAAACCAAAGUAUUGCAACAGACUGAAUGUUCUGCUCUUUGUGUGGGAAAUAUUUGAGUGUUUUCUUGUGGCGUUGUUGUCAGUUGCUUUAGCAACUGUCUGCGCGUAGCUGCGUUGAUACGGAGAGCGAGAAAGACGGUUUUGAGUUGUACUUUAACGGUUUUCCACUUUGCUGUGGAGCCCAGCAAGAAAUUAAUAUCUAAUGUCCGAGUUUGAGUUAACAGAAUUAUUCUACGGCGGCAGCGCGGCUAUGGAUGUAUGUAUUUAUACUGCAGGGACUUUUCUAAAGCAGUUUGGACGUCUGGGUGGACCAUUAUUCAGCUUUUUGACAUUACAACUUGGUGGGAGUGUGUAAGAUGAGUCACAUGUUUCAUCUGCUCCACCUGCCUCUGACUGUCAGACAUCUUUUCAAAUCCCCAACUUCUACUUCUUUUCAUCUUUCUGGCUUUGAAGCCUGGAUUUCAUCUUCCUGCUGCCCAUCCAACAUUUCGGUUCAGGAACUUUGGGAGGAAUGUUUUCAGUUCCUGUCAACAUGCACACAGUGGAACCAGUCAGGUAAUAAAACCUAGCAGUGUCCAGCAAACCGGAAGCGCCUGUGAGAGAGUCCCUUCGCUGCACUUUGUGUUGGAUGGACGCUGGAAAUCAUCUGAGUUUACAGCAAACGUGUUGAUGGGCCCCUGGCCUCACCGUCACCGGCAUCCAGUUUUGGUCCUGGAGUUUCUGCCUCAGGAAACUCGCAGUUGUUUGACGGUCACCUCGUGUAUUCGGCUCAUUUUUUGUCAUGUCGGAAAAGAUCUUGUUAUUCUGUUUUCUUCAGCUUGUCUCACAGACUUUAAAACGUUUCAAACCAGUGGAGGAGAAUGGGUUUUAUUUUAACAACACUAUAGAUGUGAAGUUUGUCGAAAUGUGUUUAUUUAUUCUUUGAAUUUAUUUUGUUUAGUCAAGUUGUUUCUCCAGACAUUUCUUGGUGUUUUGGCGGUUGGUGGUUACCAUA